AUACGUAGGGAGCAAGCGUUGUCCGGAAUUACUGGGCUAAAGGGCGCGUAGGUGGAUGCUUAAGUCAGAUGUGAAAACUCCGGGCUCAACUUGGAGAUUGCAUUUGAAACUGGGUAUCUUGAGGGUAGGAGAGGAAAGUGGAAUUCCUAGUGUAGCGGUGAAAUGCGUAGAUAUUAGGAGGAACACCAGUGGCGAAGGCGGCUUACUGGACUGUAACUGACGUUGAGGCUCGAAAGCGUGGGGAGC
rnacentral:rRNA from 1 species